AGGCGUGAUCAUAGCAGCACUAAUGCACCGGAUCCUAUCAGAACUCCACAGUUAAGCGUGCUUGGGCGAGAGUUGUACUAGGAUGGGUGACCUCUUGGGAAGUCCUCGUGUUGCGCCCC
rfam:Macleaya cordata isolate BLH2017 scaffold6641, whole genome shotgun sequence.